GGGGGCGACCUGGUUUCGACAGGGGUUGUGAAGCGGUCAGGGCAUACCGAGGACCCGUCACCUCGUUAAUCAAUGGGAAAAACGUAACUGCAAACGACGAAACGUUCGCACUGGCAGCCUAAGGGCCGCCGUCCUCUCACUAAUUCGCUGACGGGUUAGGGUAGCAAUACCGCGAGAGGUCAUAUACGUCAGAUAAGUCCUGGUGGUGUCACGACGCCGGGGUCGAAAACUUAGUGAAUCGCCGUAACGCAGCGUGUUCGUCCGCGUCGUUUCGGUUAAAUCAAAUGACAGAACUAAGUAUGUAGAACUGUUCGUAGAGCGCUUCUGGACGCGGGUUCGAUUCCCGCCGCCUCCACCA
rfam:Burkholderia sp. RPE64 DNA, chromosome 1, complete genome.